AUUCUUUUAAUAUAAAUAAUAUAGUUGACUUCCAAUCAAUAAAUUCUGGUCAACCCCAGAAAAGAAUA